rnacentral:rRNA from 1 species
GACGAACGCUGGCGGCGUGCUUAACACAUGCAAGUCGAACGAAGUGGCGAACGGGUGAGUAACGCGUAAUCAACCUGCCCUUCAGAGGGGGACAACAGUUGGAAACGACUGCUCAUACCGCAUACUGAAGGAGGGGAUUGCGUCUGAUUUGCUAGUUGGGGGGGUAACGGCCCACCAAGGCGAUGAUCAGUAGCCGGUGUGAGAGUAGGAACGGCCACAUUGUGACUGGGAGACGGCCCAGACUCCUACGGGAGGCAGCAGUGGGGAAUCUUCCGCAAUGGAGGAAAGUCUGACGGCGAAACGCCGCGUGAGUGAUGACGGCCUUCGGGUUGUAAAGCUCUGUUAAUCGGGACGCGGUACCGGAAUAGAAAGCCACGGCUAACUACGGGCCAGCAGCCGCGGUAAUAC